rnacentral:rRNA from 1 species
GACGAACGCUGGCGGCGUGCUUAACACAUGCAAGUCGAGCGGAAAGGCCUUUCGGGGUACUCGAGCGGCGAACGGGUGAGUAACACGUGAGUAAUCUGCCCUGCACUCUGGGAUAGCCAUCGGAAACGGUGAUUAAUACUGGAUAUUAACUGCCUACGCAUGUGGGUGGUUGGAAAGUUUUUUCGGCUGAGGAUGGGCCCGCGGCCUAUCAGCUUGUUGGUGGGGUGACGGCCUACCAAGGCGACGACGGGUAGCCGGCCUGAGAGGGUGACCGGCCACACUGGGACUGAGACACGGCCCAGACUCCUACGGGAGGCAGCAGUGGGGAAUAUUGCGCAAUGGGCGAAAGCCUGACGCAGCGACGCCGCGUGAGGGACGAAGGCCUUCGGGUUGUAAAGCUCUUUCACCGGAGAAGAUAAUGACGGUAUCCGGAGAAGAAGCCCCGGCUAACUUCGUGC